rnacentral:rRNA from 1 species
GACGAACGCUGGCGGCGUGCUUAACACAUGCAAGUCAAACGGUAAGGCCCUUCGGGGUACACGAGUGGCGAACGGGCGAGUAACACGUGGGUGAUCUGCCCUGCACUUCGGGAUAAGCCUGGGAAACUGGGUCUAAUACCGGAUAGGACUCCGGACUGCAUGGUCUGGGGUGGAAAGCUUUUGCGGUGUGGGAUGGGCCCGCGGCCUAUCAGCUUGUUGGUGGGGUGAUGGCCUACCAAGGCGACGACGGGUAGCCGGCCUGAGAGGGUGACCGGCCACACUGGGACUGAGAUACGGCCCAGACUCCUACGGGAGGCAGCAGUGGGGAAUAUUGCACAAUGGGCGCAAGCCUGAUGCAGCGACGCCGCGUGAGGGAUGACGGCCUUCGGGUUGUAAACCUCUUUCAGCACAGACGAAGCGCAAGUGACGGUAUGUGCAGAAGAAGGACCGGCCAACUACGUGCCAGCAGCCGCGGUAA